rnacentral:rRNA from 1 species
AUUGAACGCUGGCGGCAUGCCUUACACAUGCAAGUCGAACGGUAACGGGUCCUUCGGGAUGCCGACGAGUGGCGAACGGGUGAGUAAUAUAUCGGAACGUGCCCAGUAGUGGGGGAUAACUGCUCGAAAGAGCAGCUAAUACCGCAUACGACCUGAGGGUGAAAGGGGGGGAUCGCAAGACCUCUCGCUAUUGGAGCGGCCGAUAUCAGAUUAGCUAGUUGGUGGGGUAAAGGCCUACAAAGGCAACGAUCUGUAGUUGGUCUGAGAGGACAACCAGCCACACUGGGACUGAGACACGGCCCAGACUCCUACGGGAGGCAGCAGUGGGGAAUUUUGGACAAUGGGCGCAAGCCUGAUCCAGCAAUGCCGCGUGCAGGAAGAAGGCCUUCGGGUUGUAAACUGCUUUUGUCAGGGAAGAAAUCUUCUGGGCUAAUACCCCGGGAGGAUGACGGUACCUGAAGAAUAAGCACCGGCUAACUACGUGCCAGCCGCCGCGGUAA